UUAAUUGAAGAGUUUGAUCAUGGCUCAGAUUGAACGCUGGCGGCAGGCCUAACACAUGCAAGUCGAGCGGUAACAUUUCAAAAGCUUGCUUUUGAAGAUGACGAGCGGCGGACGGGUGAGUAAUGCCUAGGAAAUUGCCCUGAUGUGGGGGAUAACCAUUGGAAACGAUGGCUAAUACCGCAUGAUGCCUACGGGCCAAAGAGGGGGACCUUCGGGCCUCUCGCGUCAGGAUAUGCCUAGGUGGGAUUAGCUAGUUGGUGAGGUAAUGGCUCACCAAGGCGACGUUCCCUAGCUGGUCUGAGAGGAUGAUCAGCCACACUGGAACUGAGACACGGUCCAGACUCCUACGGGAGGCAGCAGUGGGGAAUAUUGCACAAUGGGCGCAAGCCUGAUGCAGCCAUGCCGCGUGUAUGAAGAAGGCCUUCGGGUUGUAAAGUACUUUCAGUCGUGAGGAAGGUGGUGUUGUUAAUAGCAGCAUCAUGUG
rnacentral:rRNA from 1 species